CCGGACUCGGAAUGCCGCGAGACUUUGCAAGCGGCCUCCGUGUGCCAAAAAUAGGCCGCGGGCACAGCCGUACCCAAAAAUAACUGCCCGAAGGCCGGGGCGCCACGUUCGUCCAGCGGAAAAAGGCCACAAAAACGGGUGGGCUAUAGCCUUGGGGGGUGGGGGUGGCCCACUUCGUCAGCCUGACUCGGAAUGCCGCGAGAGUUUGUGAGCGGCCUCCGUGUGCCAAAAAUAGGACGCGGACAAAGCCGCGCCCAAAAAUAAGAGCCCGAAGGCCGGGGUGCCAAGUUCGUCCAGCGGAAAAAGGCCACAAAAACGGGUGGGCUAUAGCCUUGGGGGGUGGGGCUGGCCCACUUCGUCAGCCUGACUUGGAAUGCCGCGAGACUUUGCAAGCGGCCUCCGUGUGCCAAAAAUAGGCCGCGGGCACAGCCGUACCCAAAAAUAACUGCCCGAAGGCCGGGGCGCCACGUUCGUCCAGCGGAAAAAGGCCACAAAAAUGGGUGGGCUAUAGCCUUGGGGGGUGAGGCUGGCCCACUUCGUCAGCCUGACUCGGAAUGCCGCGAGACUUUGCGAGCGGCCUCCGUGUGCCAAAAAUAGGACGGGGACAAAGCCGCGCCCAAAAAUAACCGCCCGAAGGCCGGGGUGCCAAGUUCGUCCAGCGGAAAAAGGUUACAAAAACGUGUCGGCUAUAGCCUUGGGGGGUGGGCUGGCCAACUUCGUCCGCCGGACUCGGAAUGCCACGAGACUUCGUGAGGGGCCUCCGUGUGCCAAAUAUAGGCCGCGGGCAAACCCUCACCCAAAAAUAACCGCCCCAAGACCGGGGCGCCAAGUUCGUCCAACGGAAAAAGGCCACAAAAACGGGUGGGCUA
rnacentral:lncRNA from 1 species